AAAUGUAUGUUGACGUAUCUGAAAGGGAUACUUCUUCGGACAAUAUACAAGGUGCUGCAUGGUUGUCGUCAGCUCGUGCCGUGAGGUGUCGGGUUAAGUCCCAUAACGAGCGCAACCCCUAUCAUUAGUUGCCAUCAGGUCAAGCUGGGGACUCUAAUGAAACUGCCUACGCAAGUAGUGAGGAAGGUGGGGAUGACGUCAAAUCAGCACGGCCCUUACGUCCAGGGCUACACACGUGCUACAAUGGCCGGUACAAAGGGCAGCUACCUGGUGACAGGAUGCUAAUCUCAAAAGCCGGUCUCAGUUCGGAUCGGAGUCUGCAACCCGACUCCGUGAAGUUGGAUUCGCUAGUAAUCGCGCAUCAGCCAUGGCGCGGUGAAUACGUUCCCGGGCCUU
rnacentral:rRNA from 1 species